rnacentral:tRNA from 1 species
GGCCUGUUGGUCUAGUGGCAUGAUUCUCGCUUUGGGUUGCGAUCCCGGGUUCGACUCCCGGACAGGCCC